GCCUACAGCACUACUUACUGUGUCCUGGUCAGGAAUUGCUCCUGAGACUAUUUUUAUUCAGUUGUAGCAAUUAGAUUGUAUGCCCCAGUAGGGUCGCAUAUUGCUCCAUUUCUUUUUGGCCCGCAUUAGCCUUAGAUACAUAACAAUAGUCCAGAGUAUAGACUCUUCCCACUAAAUUGAUAUUAAAGGUGCAAUAUGUAGGAAGUGGUCACUGCUGUCUCAGUUGACCCUGGAGCAGUGGAGGAGUGUUGGUGUUUACGCUGCCGGCACAAGAGCUUUGGAGAGUAACACGGCGGGGCUAGCUUGUUAGCGUGUUUUACUCCUGUGUUCCAGGUUGCAGGACAUAAACAUAGUGAAUCUGACAAAUCUUUACCAUAUGACCACUUCCUGAUUGAUCCGCAAACUGAAAAGACAGAGGACAGUGAAAAUCCAGACGGACAUCAGGCUGUAUUUCAAGCUCUGAGUGCUGAACACAGAUAUGCUGCGGACAAUGAGAACGUCGAGUGUGUCGUCACACACUUGACUCGGAGGCAACGAAGGAACGUAGGAAGACUCCAAGGCACCGAGGAGCUUUGACCCCAUAUUGUCUGACUUAAGUACACAAGGCCAGGGGUGACUGGAUGGAGCAUUAGUAUGGUGUUAAACUUUAAUUUCAUCUCCUCGUUUUUAAUGUGUGUUUGGUGCUCAGGUGCAUUUUCCCUGCAAAUUACUACCAAAACCUUAAAGGUUCAGUAUGUAAGAUUGUUGUUGAAAACAUACAAAAAUGACAGUUCUGACAUGCUGACAUCCGUGUUUUGUGUGAUUUUAUCGCAGUGCCUACUGAAGUUAGCAUGCUUACCAGCCAACCUGGCCCAAAGCUCCCAUGCUAGCAGUAUUAACACCUUACCAGUGCCCCAAGCUCCCGUUCUGGACUGCUAGCUGCACAGCUAACUGAGCUAACUACCUGAUGACAGCUGCAUCAGCGGGUGGCAGUUACUCUGCUGAUAUGCUGCCAAGAGGAAGUAAAGGAAUUAAUAUGUCUACACAUAGAUAUUAAGGACUGCAUGAACAUUAUGGGCAAGGUUGAGGAGAUUUUUCUUUUGUUUGUUUGUUUGUUUGUUUGUUUGUUUGUUUGUUUGCUUUCUGCCCACAGAUGAUUGUUUUUUUGAGGGAGUGGCUUCUAACAAGGUUUUUCAGCCAAAAGUAUCACGUUGUAUCUGCUAUCAACAGUUUCUACAUAUCUGUACUGCCCCAAAGUUAGCUAGCUAUCAGUAGAAUCCUUGGCGUUAGCAAGUGUUGGCAAAUUUAGCAUUAGCAAUGUUAGUAUUAGCUAACGUUAGCAAUGUUAAUGUUCACUAGCUAGCAUUAGCAGCAUUAACUAGUGCAACAAACUGACAACCGCCAUUUAGUGGAUGAAUAUUAUCAGUAACACCUUAAAUUAUUGCUUCAUUUAAAAAUCACAUAAUCCAAGUGGAACUUUUCAAAGGCCAGGUGUGUUUUCAAAGUCUCUCUGACAAAAAGCAACUUCUGACUGUGUAAGCUGUGUCUGUGUGCUGGUGUGUGAAACAGCAGAGUGCACGGGUGUGUGUUGUGUUUCCUGAGCAGAGCAGAGCGACCGCGCUUCCUCCCGACGCCCAAUCAGUUGCAGGUUGCUCAGUUACAUGCAGCACCGCCGCGUCACUUUAAAACCUCCUGCUGGAAGCCAGGACAGGAUGCAGCUCUGGCAAAACUCUCUGAGAAACAGGCCAAUACAUGGGAGGGACUGGGCCUCAGCUUCUAUACCCGUGAGUCACCAGUAAAGAUGGGAGGAAACCGCUUGUGCUCCGGUCGAGUUUCUCUGGUUGUUUGGUUUCUUUUUUGCCUCAACUUUAGAUUAUUCUGCAGUCAGUUGUCCUCCAGGACUUUAAACUGAUUCACUCACGCUUCUUACACAUGCACACCAGCGACGGCCCACAUGCAGCAACCAAACACUGUUUGCUUUGCUCUUUGUUGUGUUGCACGCUGAGCGGGAGUGACAUUACGUGCAGGACAUACAGAGAACUGCUUCUCCUUUGUAAAAACUGAUUACAAUGCGUGGCUGCAGGAAACUAGCUUUAAGAAUAAUCAGCCAGGGCAGGAAACAGGCGAGAUUAAGCAAAAAGGUGGGAUUCAUGCCUUAGGAUGCUUUUAUAGACUUAAUUAGGAAUUGAUUAUCCGUUUCAAACUGCCGUCUCUGAUCCUCGCUGUUAUCACACUGAAACAGGUUUUUUUAAAAUAAAUAAAUAUACAAUUAUGGUUUAAGUACAGAGGAUUGUGCACUAUAAAAACUCAGGAACUAAUUAAAAUAACUAACCACUCUGGUUGGUGACAAAAAAAGGACCAUUUUUUGCACACACAAUAUUGCCGAUCAUUUACCAAACAGCACUGUUUUACAGAUUAUAAAUGUUUAUCCAUUUUUUCACUAUGCAAAUUCAUACUGCAGUGCAGAGUGAAGACGGCAUGUGAUUUUAUUUUGGCGGUAUUACUUUAUGUGUGCAGAGUAAUGCACUGUAGUAUAAAUUAUAAAGCCCUUACACGUACUAUAUGGUGAAUGUGAAACUUGAAUGGGGAGCAAAUGAUCACUGUGAUGGACCGUAGCCAUCAUAAACUGAAAUUCAGCAUAUGAAAUGAUUACUUUCUGAGGUGCAUGUAAUUCACGUUCUAAUAAAACAUAUACAAGUGAUUAGCAGUAAAUUCAUCAGAAUUAUUGUAGGAAAUCCUGUAGGGGUUUUGUUCUGCAUCUCGACUUUGGUUGACAUGCAAAUAAACAAAAGUAAACUCUCACCACUCUGCGUAAAGCUUCUUCAGGUGAUAUAACACACAAACAUAUAACUGACUUAAUCCUAAAGUCUGUUCCCCCGUGUGGAGGUCUGCAGUUUCUGUUCAGCUUUGCUUUAAACAAUGAACAUAUACAUGCAGUAUCUAUUCCAGCAUCAGAAUUAUCAUAACUAAAAUCCUGUAAUGUCAAAGCAGCAGUAUUUACCCAUCAUUCUCCACCUCAUAGCUCCAUCUUGUGGACUAAUAAAGAAUGUGU